rnacentral:rRNA from 1 species
UAAACAUUGAUAUUUUUUACACCCACCAUCCGCCCGGGUACUACACGCAUUAGCUUAAAACCCAAAGGACUUGGCGGUGCUUAAGAUCCCCCUAGAGGAGCCUGUUCUAGAACCGAUAACCCACGUUUAACCUCACCCUCCCUUGUUUUUUCCGCCUAUAUACCGCCGUCGUCAGCUUACCCUAUGAAGGACUAAUAGUGAGCAAAAGUGGCACAGCCCAAAACGUCAGGUCGAGGUGUAGCGCAUGAGAGGGGAAGAAAUGGGCUACAUUCCCUAAAAAUAGGAGCAAUACGGAUAGUAUGUUGAAACAUAUACUUAAAGGAGGAUUUAGCAGUAAGCGGAAAUUAGAAAAUUCCACUGAAUUCGGCCCUAAAGCGUGC